CUGGUUGAUUCUGCCAGUAGUCAUAUGCUUGUCUUAAAGAUUAAGCCAUGCAUGUCCAAGUAUAACCCCUUUGGGGAAAACUGCGGAUGGCUCAUUAAAUCGGUUGGAAUCUACAUGAACACCCCCAGUACGUGGAUAACCACGGAAAAUCUGCGGCUAAUACAUGCACAAAGGAAUGGUCUCUGAUCAUUCUGCAUACAUUAGUUCCAAAGUCAAUGAGUAGCAAUACUCUUUUCGGUGAUUCAUGAUGUCUAGGCGAAUCGCAUGACCUUGUGUCGGCGAUGAUUCAUUCGACUUUCCGCCCUAUCAACUUUGGAUGGUAGUGUAGUGGACUACCAUGGUUGUAACGGGUGACGGGGAAUUAGGGUUCGAUUCCGGAGAGGGAGCCUGAGAGAUGGCUACUACUUCCAAGGAAGGCAGCAGGCGCGCAAAUUACCCUAAUGGUCAAAGACCGAGGUAGUGACAAUAAAUAUCGAUGUUGGUGAUUCGUCAUUGACAAUCGGAAUGAACUGAAGUUAAAUCUCUCUAUGAGUACCAAUUGGAGGGCAAGUCUGGUGCCAGCAGCCGCGGUAAU
rnacentral:rRNA from 1 species